CCCUUUGUCGUAAUCAAAGUGCGGAGUCAGGCGAUGAACGUUUGAGUUUUUGUGUUAGCAACUUGCUCUUUCACGGAGAAUGCGUAUACGAUCCCCUCAAAUCGACCAAGUUGACGUUUGCAUGCCGAGAUCAUUAUGGAUAUGUACAUCACCUUUGAAGAGUACCAGCAGAUGUGGGCCAAGUCAGUGCCCCCACCAGACGCCCCGACGAUGUACAGCGAGUAUC